UUCUUGGUAACUAGGUAGAGGAAGGAUCUUUCAGUUAUUUGAAAUUUUGUUUUAUGAGACAUCAUGGCUCCAUUCAUCAUUUUGCCUUUUUCUUUCCAUAGACAACAACAAUAAAAACAACUAUAAUUGAGAUGUUAAACUAAUGCACAAUUCAACCAUAAAAUCCUAAAGCCAACUAAAUCUUGAACCAAGAAUCAACUGAAGGCAAUGAUGAAGCUGUAAAGAUUUAUUUUUUGUCAUUUAUUGAAGAAACAGAUAUUUGCAUGAAUGCAAGACGUUCUUAGAUGGAGAGCGUUGGAGAGGGAGAGAGAUUGCAAACUAGAUUCCUGAAUUUACUAAUAC